GAAAUGCCAUUUUCAUUCGUUAAUCCAAUACAAUACAUGUAUAUUUCAUCUUAUGGGAUAUAUUUUUCAGAUCAAAACAUUCAUUUCAUUUUGUUCAAUUUGGAUACAAAGUUUGGAGCAAUUUAUUAAUUACAUUAUUUGUAUCAAGAAUAUGUUUUCAUUUAGCAAUCCCACAGAACAUAUACUAGAAUGUUUCUUCUAUUCACAGGGUCCUGUCCAUUUCUUGGAUUUUAUUUAGUCCAUCUGAUUAUUGUAUGUAAACAAAGCUGGUUCUUUGGAGGCAUACAUGUCUGCAGAUGUCCUUAUUAGGUAGAGAUAUAGAAAGUGCUCAUUGUGUUGAAAUUUCUAUGAUACAUGUACAUGUAAAGAAGGACUCCAUAAGAUACAUGUAAUAAAGAACCAUGAAACUCAGAAACAAUGGUUGGAGAAUCAUUGAAAUGUGCAAUUCAUUUUUCAUUAUAUCUAUCAAUAUAAAUGUUUAUUAUAUGAU
rnacentral:misc_RNA from 1 species